CUCAACCAUGUUUUGGGUAUAAAGCCAAACAGUAACAAUGUAUUUCCCAGGUUGCAUCUAAAUACUACCCAAACUGUGACAAUCCAUUUGAAGGUAAUGUAUUAUGCCAGUAAUAUAGUUCAGAGACAAUAUAUUUUUAGGUAUCCAAACGGCCCCGUAAUGUAUUAUUUAGACUAUCAAUUUUCAAUAUUUUCACGUAUUUAUAGAUUUACACUGCCUUUGAUUUUUUAAAUUUUAUAAUUAGAGAUUAAAAUAUAUUGGGGUUGUCAUAAAUUAUGAUACCAAACCACAUCUUUGAGGAUUACUUGAAGGUGGGUCUUCUUUGAUUGGUUAGGGCCUCGUCAAUUUUAUUAAACAGCGACUUAUUAGAGACAAUGAGUACAUCCAAAUGUGUAGUCAAAUGUGACCUGAGAAUUGAACAAUAAAACAGGGGGAUGGUUUGUUUGCCUAACUCGACUAUUGUUGACGUAAGGUUGAAUAACAUGCUCAAAACAC
rnacentral:lncRNA from 1 species